AACGAACGCUGGCGGCAUGCCUAACACAUGCAAGUCGAACGAGACCUUCGGGUCUAGUGGCGCACGGGUGCGUAACGCGUGGGAACUUGCCCGUAGGUUCGGAAUAACUCCCCGUAGGGGGUGCUAAUACCGGAUAAUGUCUUCGGACCAAAGAUUUUUCGCCUUUGGGUGGGCCCGGGUUGGAUUAGCUAGUUGGUAGGGUAAAAGCCUACCAAGGCGACGAUCCAUAGCUGGUCUGAGAGGAUGAUCAGCCACACUGGGACUGAGACACGGCCCAGACUCCUACGGAAGGCAGCAGUGGGGAAUAUUGGACAAGGGGGGAAAGCCUGAUCAAGCAAUGCCGGGUGAGUGAUGAAGGCCGUAGGGUUGUAAAGCUCUUUUACCCGGGAUGAUAAUGACAGUACCGGGAGAAUAAGCACCGGCUAACUACGUG
rnacentral:rRNA from 1 species